rnacentral:rRNA from 1 species
CGAAUGGGGGAACCCAACAUCUUUAAUAGGAUGUUACGAUUGUGUGAAUACAUAGCACAUUCGAGGUAGACGCAGAGAACUGAAACAUCUAAGUACCUGCAGGAAGAGAAAGAAAAUUCGAUUCCCUGAGUAGCGGCGAGCGAAACGGGAAAAGCCCAAACCAGCAAGCUUGCUUGUUGGGGUUGUAGGACUCCAAUAUGGUAGUUCUUUCAGAUAGUCGAAUGACUUGGAAAAGUCAGUCAAAGAGGGUAAAAACCCCGUAGACGAAAUGUGGAAGACACCUAGGAGGAUCCUGAGUACGGCGGAACACGAGAAAUUCCGUCGGAAUCCGGGAGGACCAUCUCCCAAGGCUAAAUACUCCCUAGUGACCGAUAGUGAACCAGUACCGUGAGGGAAAGGUGAAAAGCACCCCGGAAGGGGAGUGAAAUAGAACCUGAAACCGUGUGCCUACAACAAGUCAAAGCCCGUUAAUGGGUGAUGGCGUGCCUUUUGUAGAAUGAACCGGCGAGUUACGAUUGCAUGCGAGGUUAAGUUGAAGAGACGGAGCCGCAGCGAAAGCGAGUCUGAAUAGGGCGUUUGAGUAUGUAGUCGUAGACCCGAAACCAUGUGAUCUACCCAUGUCCAGGUUGAAGGUGCGGUAAAACGCACUGGAGGACCGAACCCACGUACGUUGAAAAGUGCGGGGAUGAGGUGUGGGUAGCGGAGAAAUUCCAAACGAACUUGGAGAUAGCUGGUUCUCUCCGAAAUAGCUUUAGGGCUAGCCUCGGAAUUGAGAAUGAUGGAGGUAGAGCACUGUUUGGACUAGGGGCCCAUCUCGGGUUACCGAAUUCAGAUAAACUCCGAAUGCCAUUCAUUCAUAUCCGGGAGUCAGACUGUGAGUGAUAAGAUCCAUAGUCGAAAGGGAAACAGCCCAGACCACCAGCUAAGGUCCCAAAAUAUAUGUUAAGUGGAAAAGGAUGUGGGGUUGCACAGACAACUAGG